CCCUUAGAUGUCCUGGGCCGCACGCGCGCUACACUGACACACGCAGCGAGUUUUCCUUGUCCGAAAGGUCCGGGUAAUCUUGUAAAUGUGUGUCGUGAUAGGGAUAGAUUAUUGCAAUUAUUAAUCUUGAACGAGGAAUUCCUAGUAAAUGCAAGUCAUCAGCUUGCGUUGAUUACGUCCCUGCCCUUUGUACACACCGCCCGUCGCACCUACCGAUUGAAUGAUUCGGUGAAACCUUCGGACCGUAGCUAGGACGCCUCUGGCGACUUAGCCGUGGGAAGUUGUUUAAACCUCAUCAUUUAGAGGAAGGUGAAGUCGUAACA
rnacentral:rRNA from 1 species